rnacentral:misc_RNA from 1 species
CGGUUCUGGCAUCGAUGAAGAACGCAGCAAAAUGCGAUAAGUAAUGUGAAUUGCAGAAUUCAGUGAAUCAUCGAAUCUUUGAACGCACAUUGCGCCCUUUGGUAUUCCGAAGGGCAUGCCUGUUUGAGCGUCAUUUAGAACCCUCAAGCCUUGCUUGGUAUUGGGCGAGGUCUUGGACCCGCCCGCAACUGGUUGGCGGUACCGUCUGUACCCAAGCGUAGCAAACUCUCGCUCAGGGCCUCCGGCGGUUCCGCCAGAUAACACACCCACGGUUUGACCUCGGAUCAGGUAGGGAUACCCGCUGA